UCGGGAAUAUUGCGCAAUGGAGGAAACUCUGACGCAGUGACGCCGCGUAUAGGAAGAAGGUUUUCGGAUUGUAAACUAUUGUCGUUAGGGAAGAAAAAGGACAGUACCUAAGGAGGAAGCUCCGGCUAACUACGUGCCAGCAGCCGCGGUAAUACGUAGGGAGCGAGCGUUAUCCGGAUUUAUUGGGUGUAAAGGGUGCGUAGACGGGUAAUCAAGUUAGUUGUGAAAUCCCUCGGCUCAACUGAGGAACUGCAACUAAAACUGGUUGUCUUGAGUGCAGGAGAGGUAAGUGGAAUUCCUAGUGUAGCGGUGAAAUGCGUAGAUAUUAGGAGGAACACCAGUGGCGAAGGCGACUUACUGGACUGUAACUGACGUUGAGGCACGAAAGUGUGGGGAGCAAACA
rnacentral:rRNA from 1 species